rnacentral:rRNA from 1 species
CAGCAGCCACGGUAAUACCGAGGGUGCGAGCGUUAAUCGGAUUUACUGGGCGUAAAGCGUGCGUAGGCGGCUUCUUAAGUCGGAUGUGAAAUCCCUGAGCUUAACUUAGGAAUUGCAUUCGAUACUGGGAAGCUAGAGUAUGGGAGAGGAUGGUAGAAUUCCAGGUGUAGCGGUGAAAUGCGUAGAGAUCUGGAGGAAUACCGAUGGCGAAGGCAGCCAUCUGGCCUAAUACUGACGCUGAGGUACGAAAGCAUGGGGAGCAAACAGGAUUAGAUACCCCUGUAGUCCCUGUCUCUUUACA